rnacentral:misc_RNA from 1 species
UCCGGUUUGUCACCGGCAGUCCCAUUAGAGUGCCCAACUGAAUGUGGCAACUAAUGGCAAGGGUUGCGCUCGUUGCGGGACUUAACCCAACAUCUCACGACACGAGCUGACGACAGCCAUGCACCACCUGUGCACAGGCCCCGAAGGGCUGCCGUAUUUCUACGACAUUCCUGUGCAUGUCAAGCCUCGGUAAGGUUCUUCGCGUUGCGUCGAAUUGAACCACAUGCUCCGCUGCUUGUGCGGGCCCCCGCCUAUUCCUUUGAGUUUUAACCUUGCGGCCGUAGUCCCCAGGCGGUGAACUUAAUGCGUUAGCUGCGGCACUGAUCGGGUCAAUCCGAACCAACAUCUAGUGAUCAUCGUUUACAGCGUGGACUAC